AGAUUGAACGCUGGCGGCAUGCCUAACACAUGCAAGUCGAACGGGAGUAGCAAUACUCUAGUGGCGGACGGGUGAGGAAUACGUAGGAAUUUGCCCUUAAGUGGGGGAUAACCCGGGGAAACCCGGAUUAAUACCGCGAUGACCUCGAAAGAGCAAAGUGGGGAUCGCAAGACCUCACGCUUUUGGAGAAGCCUACGUCGGAUUAGCUAGUUGGUGAGUAAUGGCUCACCAAGGCGACGAUCCCGUAACUGGUCUGAGAGGAUGAUCAGUCACACCGGAACUGAGACACGGUCCGGACUCCGUACGGGAGCAGCGAGUGGGGAAUAGUUGGACAAUGGGCGCGAAGCCUGACUCCAGCAA
rnacentral:rRNA from 1 species